rnacentral:ribozyme from 1 species
CCCUACCAAUAGCAUGUACCUUGACGUGGUGGUAGGGCAACUAAUUGAUCCGUUUUCAAAAGACAUAAAACGAUACGAAAUAAAAUAAUAAAGUAACUUUCUAUAGCCCAGACAAAGUCUUCUGGUAACGGAUCAACUAGACUAAACAUGC